UUUAUGGAGAGUUUGAUCCUGGCUCAGGAUGAACGCUGGCGGCGUGCCUAAUACAUGCAAGUCGAGCGAACAGACGAGGAGCUUGUUCCUCUGACGUUAGCGGCGGACGGGUGA
rnacentral:rRNA from 1 species